rnacentral:lncRNA from 1 species
AUACCCAUAGUUACCACUGGGAGCAGGGUGGGCCGUUUACACUCCUCGUCCUACCUCGCCAUCACCUUAGGAAGCAGCCAUUCUCCUUGUCCUUACUGUAGAGGAGGAAGCCUGGACAGCCUGCAGUUGAGGGGACCUGCACAAGCUCACAGGACUCUUCAUCACCAUGACACCACCCUCACCGCAAAAUAAAAAUGAUUAAACCUGUCAUGAUGUCAGCAGCACCGGUGUUGGUCUUUGUGGGAAAGAAAAACACAGGCCAGGGCUGCAGCACCAUUGUGUCUGCCCAGCUUGCAGCCUGGAGAACACCGUUGGAUUCCCUCCCACACAUGCUCCCAGGCUGCCUGCCUGCCUCACUUACCUGCUCAGGGUGGGGCUUGAGGGUGGCCCCUGGGAAGAGUAAGAACUGGCCAAGACUGAGAUGUCCUUCCCUCAUUUAAGGUACCGCCUUUUCCCUUUUCCCGCCAUCCUGGGUGCAUGGAUACUUGGGAUUAGAAACUGGACUGGAAAUGUAAUCUUUCUUCGGUUUGGGGCUGAGAACUGGGGAUUAGUAGAUUUGAGUUUAUGGCACAGCCUUUUCUUACACCAUUUCCUAAAAGCAGUUAAGAUUACACCAGGCACGGUGGCUUACGCCUGUAAUCUCAGCACUUUGGGAGGCUGAGGCAGGUGGAUCACCUGAGGUCAGGAGUUCAAGACCAGCUUGACCAACAUGGUGAAACCCCAUCUCUACUAAAAAUACAAAAAUUAGCUGGGCGUGGUGGCAUGCAUUUGUAGUCCCGGCUACUUGGGAGGCUGAGGCAGGAGAAUCCCUUGAACCCGGGAGGCGGAGGUUGCGGUGAGCUGAGAUCGCACCAUUGCACUCCAGCAGCCUGGGCAACAAGAACGAAACUCCGUCUCAAAAAAAAAAAAAAAAAAAAAAAAUUACAGUCAUCUCCCAGAAAAAUCAAGAAGGAAGACCCUUGGAGGUUCAACCUAUAGAAGAUAUGUUCUCAUGGAAUAAACCAAAAAUAAUUUUUAUUUUUUAAAAAAAUCAAGAACAGAAGUCUCUCAACAUUUAAGUUUUACAAACAAAUAGAAUCUGAGCCACUGGGUUAAACAUGACAAACGACACACAGUAACAAAUAUUGAAGACAUCGUAAUGCCAAAGCAACAGAAGCAGCACCGGAAAUGUUGCUGAGGCCACCAUUUAAUUAACGCAAGUUGAACAUAUGGCUUUGGUUACAUGUGGUUCCAGGCCGGAGGCAUGAAAGUCAGUGUUUGUGGGAAAGCCAGGAGGAAAAGCUCCUCUCCCCACCCCCUUCUUGUCACUCCAGGUUCUGGUGACCCCAUCUCAGGACACGGCCUCCCAUUUCACUCCUGCACCAACCCCACUCUUGUAACACUGCACAUGCAAGAUGUGAGCAUCUUCAAAGUACGAAUAUUGCCUUCUUCAUUUUAGAAUCCAUGAUGUGCUUGUGGGGAGAAUGAAUGAAUGCUCAAACAUGAAUGGAGAGAGACAGAGAGGAAGUGCAGGUCUAACCAAGGAAACAUUCUUUCCUAGAAAAUCGUUGAUGAGCCCAGAAAGAGUUGGCUGAAUAACGGUAACAAUUCUUUUAUUAUUAUUUAACUUAUUAAGUUAUUAGAAAAAGUAAAACAGUGAGUCAAGGUUUUUGGAUUGGAAGAAGGGACCCACUGAGUUCCCUCCAGGAUUGUGGAGUUUCUUUUACAGCCAUAUGUGGAUAAGAAACUAAGGGCCACAGACCAAAUAACAGGUCGGAUGGCAACCCUGGAAAAGUCACACAGCUCAGCCUGUUGGAGGAAGAGGAGCAGUAGAACCUGUGUGGAGCCUGACAGAACCCAAGAUGCCAUUCACGAACCGCGAGGUCUUUCAAGAUCACACACAGUUCUACGACACAGACAUUUCAUCUUCUUGCUACUCAGUAGCGGGGCCCAUCCCUCUGUGCCUCCAAGGAGAAAGAAUUGUGCCAUGAAAAAUGGAAAACUCCUGAGAAGCUGUUCCAGCGUCAGGAGAGCAGCAGACAAGCUGGACUGGGGAAGAUUCUUCUGCAAGACCUGCAGAGUGUAUGACACAUAACCAGCACCCAAGAAAUGUCUACCGAGGAAUUAAUGAAUGAGGAAAUACCUCUGUACACUCACCAGACACUGGCUGCUGGGUGUCAUGGUGCUAAGAGCUGUGGGAAACAUGAAGGGCAAUGAGACCAGGUCCCUGCUCUGAGGAGACGUGUGCCAGCGAAGUUUCUCUCCCACGUGAGUGUGCUACAAGAAAAUCUGAACCCGAGAAUCUGAUUCAGUAGGUCUGCACUUUCCCCACUUUGCCAGAUAAUUCUGAUUGAGACCGUCAAGGCUGUGACUAGUGGGGAGGCAGUAGAGUAUUUUCUGUGCUAGACUGAGGCAGCCCUGAAGCACUGCACAAGCACAUGGAAAAGAGAAACGAGAUUGGGCUGGGCACAGUGGCUCAUGCCUGGAAUCUUUGGGAGGCCACGGAUCACUUGAGGACAGGGGUUUGAGACCAGCUUGGCCAACAUGGUGAAACCUUGUCCCUACUAAAAAUACAAAAAUUAGCAGGGAGUGGUGGUGCACACCUGUAAUCCCAGCUACUCUGGAGGCUGAGGCAAAAGAAUCGCUUGAACCCGGGAGGUGGAGGUUGCAGUGAGCUGAGAUUGGACCACUGCCCUCCAGCCUGGGUGAUAGAGUGAGACUCCAUCUCU